UUUAAUCAUGCACGUCUGUUUACUGUAACCCCGGUAACUGUUGAAUUUGCGAUUCAGCGCCAUCUACUGUCAAAGUAGAGUAUUUAUACAGCGUGCCAGAUGUGUUUGCUUUGAGAUUUAAUUAAUUAUUCUUUUCUUUAAAUGUAGACAUUCUUGGAGAUGUUGUAUUAAAAACCCUACAAAAUGGCCAGCAAGAUGAUUCAGCCUUCCUACAGUACCAAGAGGCAAAGCAAACAUUUAUUAAUUUGCAACCUGUCAGAAAACAAACAUAAUUCAGUAUUUGGAGGAGGAGGUAUGAAGAAGACCCCAUGUCCUGCUAUGGGAUGAAUUUCACUAAUCACAAGCCUUUGUUAUCGUGGGGAGGCAUGGCCCAGGAGCAACACCAGCAGUUGACAUGUGCUUUAAUAUUUUUUUUACAUUUUAUACAGAGUAUCCCAAGCCUUUCACUACUGUUAAGUAGUUUCUGUAACACAAUACAUUUUGUACCAGGUGAUGUUUCCUGAACACACUGUCACCUGCUUAAAGGGACAGUUCCCCCAAAAAUGAAAAUUGUCAUAAUUUUCUUCCUCUCCUGUCGUUACAAACCUGUACACAUUUUUUUGUUCUGAUGACCACAAAGGAAGAUAUUUUGAGUAAUCUUUGAAACCAAACAGAUCAUGAGCCCCAUUGACUGUCAUAGUAGGAAAAAAGAAUACUAUGAAAAUGAAUGGGGCUCAUGAUCGGUUUGAUUUCAAACAUUCUUUGAAAUAUACCUUUGUGGUUAUCAAAGUAAAGACUUAUAUACAGGUUUAUAACAACAUGAGAGGGAGAAAAUGAUGACAAAAUGUGUGAACUCUGCUUUUAAGCAGUUUUUAGUUGGAUAAGAUUGAGUAGAUUUGUUUUGUUCUUAUGUUUUUGUUUAUUUAUGUAUGUAUAUAUUUAUGUAUGUGUGUAUGUAUUUAUGCUUCUAUACAUGUAUGUAUUUAUACAUUUAAAUGCAGGUGCAAAUGACUAAAUGAAAUUAAAGCAUUAUAAAUGUA